rnacentral:rRNA from 1 species
GAAUUUUAUAUAAGUUUUGAUUUGAUGGUUAAUAUUUUAUUAAUUAAUACUUAUAUUUAGUUGGGAGGAUUAUUAAAUUUAAAAAACUUUAAUAAAUUAUAAACAUUGAUUUAUGAUUAAUAUAAAAAUUUAAUGAUUAAAAUUAGUUAAAAUUUUAUGUAAGAAUUAAUUACCUCAGGGAUAACAGCGUAAUAUUUUUAGAAAGAUCUUAUUGAUAAAAGUGAUUGC